rnacentral:rRNA from 1 species
CCUACGGGGGGCAGCAGUGGGGAAUAUUGGGCAAUGGGCGCAAGCCUGACCCAGCAACGCCGCGUGAAGGAAGAAGGCCCUCGGGUUGUAAACUUCUUUUGUUAGGGACGAAGAAAGUGACGGUACCUGACUAAUAUGCCACGCCUAACUAGGUGCCAGCAGCCGCGGUAAUACGUAGGUGGCAAGCGUUAUCCGGAUUUACUGGGUGUAAAGGGCGUGUAGGCGGGACUGCAAGUCAGAUGUGAAAUUACAGGGCUCAACCCUGGAACGGAAGUUGAAACUGGAAGUCUUGAGGGAUGGAGAGGGAGGCGGAAUUCGGGGUGUAGAGGUGAAAGGCGUAGAUAUAAGGAAGAA